rnacentral:rRNA from 1 species
AUUGAACGCUGGCGGCAUGCCUUACACAUGCAGGUCGAACGGUAACAGGUCUUCGGAUGCUGACGAGUGGCGAACGGGUGAGUAAUACAUCGGAACGUGCCUAGUAGUGGGGGAUAACUACUCGAAAGAGUGGCUAAUACCGCAUGAGAUCUACGGAUGAAAGCAGGGGAUCGCAAGACCUUGUGCUACUAGAGCGGCCGAUGGCAGAUUAGGUAGUUGGUGGGAUAAAAGCUUACCAAGCCGACGAUCUGUAGCUGGUCUGAGAGGACGAUCAGCCACACUGGGACUGAGACACGGCCCAGACUCCUACGGGAGGCAGCAGUGGGGAAUUUUGGACAAUGGGCACAAGCCUGAUCCAGCAAUGCCGCGUGCAGAUGAAGGCCUUCGGGUUGUAAACUGCUUUUGUACGGAACGAAAAGCCCCGGGUUAAUACCCUGGGGUCAUGACGGUACCGUAAGAAUAAGCACCGGCUAACUACGUGCCAGCCGCCGCUGUAA